UGUGUUUUAAGGAACGUUUUUCCCUUUCUCCUCACUCAGAGCUCCAGGAGUAACCUUUGGAACAACAGACUUCAAAGUGACAGCAGCCUGCGCCUCUGGCCAUAGUGAACUUGGGGCCUGCUCACUGCAAUUCAACAUGCCUUCCCCAUGCACUUGGCUGAGUGCUCAUUGGAUUCGGUUGGCUCAACCUGAACGGGUGCAGGUGUUGACGUGGUGCAGACUGCUCCUCGUGGGAAGGUGACGCUGCCUGUGCUGAGCUAGGAAGGGAUGCAGGGGGGUUUGGAGGUACCUUGGUUGGUUUUCAAUGGG